AGAGCCUCAAAGAGCACCCAGCAUAACUGUGGGAGAAUAGUAAGCAUUGGACACAAAAUGGUUUAGGCAAAUAAUGAUGAACAAAAAUGGUCAGUCUGUGUUCCUGCUGACCCAGCACAGUGGGGACGCUGUGUAGGACAUGACCUUUGGGGGAAAGGACACAAGAACUCAGCGUGGGGGAUCCAGAAAAGAAGUCGCACGUAUUGAAGCCAGUAACGCCAAGCCAGUGAAUUCUCCUUGACGAGAAAGACCCACUUACUCUGCAGAAGAGAUAUAUGACAGCUGACAAUCCCUGGAGGAGAAUCUUUCUACUAAAUUGACACAGUGAAACUCAGUUUCUGCAGAAUUUGAUUUCAUUUGAGUUACUGGGGAACAAAGCAAUUAGACAAUGAAUAAUAGCUCAAGACAGGCUGAAGCUGAAGAUUUCUGCAAAAGAAUGAAGAGGAAACGUUUUGAUCCUGAGCAGAUGUUCUCCCUAGAUUGCUUCACCUGAGGUUGAUUGACUUUUGGAAACGAGAUUUGUUCCCAGUGCUUUGUGAGUCUCUUGUUGGAAGGACUGUCUUUAAAUUAAAGCAAUUAGAGUUACUUUAUAAGAUUUACCCAAAUAUAAGAGCUGAAGAGAAUAAUUCAAAUUGAUCAGAAGAAAAUACUCAAUUACUGACAAAUGUCAAUUACAUCAAUAGCCUAGGCUGCUCUUGAACUCCUGGGCUCAAACGAUCCUCCCCUGUCGGCCUCCCAAAGUGCUGGGAUUACAAGCUUGAACCACCAUGCCCAGCCUCAGAAAUUUUUUAAAUGACAGCUCAUACAGUUUUCUUUUAUAAAGGAGGAGAAAAUGUGUAAUUGUAAGCAGCUGAACUAAAAUAUCUCUGUGACAUUUUGCUGGUGACUCCAGCCCUGUGAGAUCUGAGUGGCUCAGGAAUCAAAUUCUCCCACAAACCUGAGGAAGCCUUUUAUUCUUAAUGCCAACAGGAUGCCCCAUGCCCAGAAUGUCAAAUCUGAACACCAAUGGAAUGCAUUUUAUAAACAAAUUGAAAAAGGACAAUCUUUAACAGAAUUGUUGUUCUCUAGGCAGAUUAGUUGUGCUUCAAAUACAAAAUGAAAUAUUAGAGAACAAAAUUAUUUUUAAACAGCUAAUACUAGUAGAAAAUAAAAGGCUGAAAAGUGCUAUAA
ensembl:lncRNA LINC02436 long intergenic non-protein coding RNA 2436